GAUUUUCAGGCGUGUGAACAUGAAGAUUUUGUGCUAAGAAUGAAAGAAUAUGAAAGAGAAAGAAGACUGAUGGUUCGGGAGGCGAGAAUUAAAAGUAAAAUGGCCCGAGGUGAAAUGUGAGGAAAUGUUACAAGUGACAAGGACAUGGACAGAUUGACUCUUGUAGAUUUGUUGAUAAUGAAUUUAAUUAAAAUAUGCUUACACAUGC
rnacentral:misc_RNA from 1 species